ACAACACAUGCGCUAACAUGUUGAACGGGUCUUUAUCCUCAGUUUUGUAUGCAGAUACACAUCAUGACCAGAGAUAAGCUAGCAGAGGAUGUUUCACUGCUAAGAAAACUUGUGUCAUCAAGAGAUCAAACAAAGGUUGUCUCAAGAUGAUGAAAUCACAGUGAAGGAUGUUAGACAGAGAAAUCUGUCAGAAAACAAAAUUCUGGCUUCAGGUGCAGAAUGUCUCCCUCGUCCUUCAUGUUGUUGGGAGGAGGCUCCUGCAUGGCACCAUAGGAACUUUUGGACCGGCCGCUCAUGCCUGCAUCCACCUCUGUUUACUGAAAGCUGUGCACAACUCUGAUAGAGCUGGAAAUCACUGCGGGCCGCAGCCUGCAGGAGCCUGGCAGGAGUUCAGCCACAAAGCUUUACAUGAGCCGAUCAUCUGAAAACGGGAAGAAUCAGCAGGUGACAUGGAGGCGGGUGGAGCCAGAAAAGGAGCAAUAUUAGAAGAAAACCU